GUCGAAUUGGCUCAGUUGGUUAGAGCGUUGGUCUCAUAGUUUCCUAUGAGUAAUCCCGGAUUACGUAAUCCAAAGGUCGAGAGUUCGAGUCUCUCAUUCGACA